UGCCUCCCUCAGGAAUCUCUCUUAACAUCCUCCCCUGGGUCUUAUGGGCCAUCUGGACGGCGAGAAACACCCUCAUCUUCGAAGGACGAUACCAAUCUCCUGAGGAAACAGCACUGAAAGGGAUUAAGUUAGCAAGAGAAUGGACCAACUCGCAAAAUCAAUCCUCUGGAAAGAAGGACCUACCUCAGAGUCAGCAACUCCAACCGCGAGCACCACCACAGAUUAAUCUCGAUAACGACCAGGUGAAUUGCAAGACAGACGCGGCGUGGCACAAGGACAAACUCGUUGCAGGACUAGGGUGGGUGUUCUCGGGACCGCGACUCGAAUCUCCCAUCAAAGGAUC
rnacentral:lncRNA from 1 species